rnacentral:rRNA from 1 species
UACGUAGGGGGCAAGCGUUGUCCGGAAUCAUUGGGCGUAAAGAGCGUGUAGGCGGCCAGAUAAGUCCGCUGUGAAAUCUCGAGGCUCAACUUCGAGCUGUCGGUGGAAACUAUUUGGCUAGAGUCCGGAAGAGGAGAGUGGAAUUCCUGGUGUAGCGGUGAAAUGCGCAGAUAUCAGGAGGAACACCGGUGGCGAAGGCGGGUCUCUGGGCCGACAUUGACGCUGAGGAGCGAAAGCGUGGGGAGCAAACAGG